GCUCCCUUGGCCUAGGGGUUAUGGCGUGGCUCUUAUGGUGUAUUUCCUACUACAGGAUUCCCCAUGAAAUUGACUAGCCGAAGUCGUGGGUUCGAUUCCCACAGGGAGCA